rnacentral:rRNA from 1 species
AGCCUGAACGCUGGCGGCGUGGCUAAGACAUGCAAGUCGUACGGUGUAGCAAUACACAGUGGCGAACGGGUGAGUAAUGAAUCGCUAAUGUACCCCGGACUCUGGGAUAGCCGGCCGAAAGGCCGGGUAAUACCAGAUGAUAUAACCUGGCCGCAUGGUCGGGUUCUCAAAGGUCCGCCGGUCUGGGAGCAGGCGAUUUUGUAUCAGCUAGUUGGUGAGGUAACGGCUCACCAAGGCGACGACGCAUAGCCGGACUGAGAGGUUGGCCGGCCACAUUGGGACUGAGACACUGCCCAGACUCCUACGGGGGGCUGCAGUAACGAAUCUUCCGCAAUGCACGAAAGUGUGACGGAGCGACGCCGCGUGUGGACGAAGUCCUUCGGGAUGUAAACCACUGUCAGGGUAAGAAAGUUCUGAUCUACCCCAGAGAAGGCACGGCAACUCUGUGCCACAGCCGC